GGACAGAGAUGUGUUGAUACAGGGGAGACAGAUGGACAUCUGUGGAUUAGGUGAAGGAGGGGUUGAGGUCAGGAGGUCAGGAGAGAGAUGUGUUGAUACAGGGGAGACAGAUGGACAUCUGGGUAUUAGGUGAAGGAGGGGUUGAGGUCAGAGGUCAGGACAGAGAUGUGUUGAUACAGGGGAGACAGAUGGACAUCUGGGUAUUAGGUGAAGGAGGGGUUGAGGUCAGGAGGUGAGGACAGAGAUGUGUUGAUACAGGGGAGACAGAUGGACAUCUGGGUAUUAGGUGAAGGAGGGGUUGAGGUCAGGAGGUCAGGACAGCGAUGUGUUGAUACAGGGGAGACAGAUGGACAUCUGGGUAUUAGGUGAAGGAGGGGUUGAGGUCAGGAGGUCAGGAGAGAGAUGUGUUGAUACAGGGGAGACAGAUGGACAUCUGGGUAUUAGGUGAAGGAGGGGUUGAGGUCAGAGGUCAGGACAGCGAUGUGUUGAUACAGGGGAGACAGAUGGACAUCUGGGUAUUAGGUGAAGGAGGGGUUGAGGUCAGGAGAGAGAUGUGUUGAUACAGGGGAGACAGAUGGACAUCUGGGUAUUAGGUGAAGGAGGGGUUGAGGUCAGGACAGAGAUGUGUUGAUACAGGGGAGACAGAUGGACAUCUGGGUAUUAGGUGAAGGAGGGGUUGAGGUCAGGACAGAGAUGUGUUGAUACAGGUGAGACAGAUGGACAUCUGGGUAUUAGGUGAAGGAGGGGUUGAGGUCAGAGGUCAGGAGGUGAGGACAGAGAUGUGUUGAUACAGGGGAGACAGAUGGACAUCUGGGUAUUAGGUGAAGGAGGGGUUGAGGUCAGGACAGAGAUGUGUUGAUACAGGGGAGACAGAUGGACAUCUGGGUAUUAGGUGAAGGAGGGGUUGAGGUCAGAGGUCAGGACAGAGAUGUGUUGAUACAGGGGAGACAGAUGGACAUCUGGGUAUUAGGUGAAGGAGGGGUUGAGGUCAGAGGUCAGGACAGAGAUGUGUUGAUACAGGGGAGACAGAUGGACAUCUGGGUAUUAGGUGAAGGAGGGGUUGAGGUCAGAGGUCAGGAGGAGAGGACAGAGAUGUGUUGAUACAGGGGAGACAGAUGGGUAUUGGGUGAAGGAGGGGUUGAGGUCAGGACAGAGAUCUGGGUAUUAGAUGAGAGGUUGAGGUCAGGACAGAUUCUCUGAAGAGAGUAAUUUAAUGUUUGGUAUCCUGUUUCCCUCUUUAUCAGCUUCCUGUGGAGCCAUGAGACGUAGGGAUUGGAGAGAAAGGGGAGUGUCUUAAGGAGGAUGUAUAUAAACUGUGAAAUCUUUAGCUGUCUGAUUUUCUGCUGUACAGAACCUUUGGGAAAUGAUUAAACUUGGUUAAAGCUU